CCUACGGGAGGCAGCAGUGAGGAAUAUUGGUCAAUGGACGAGAGUCUGAACCAGCCAAGUAGCGUGAAGGAUGACUGCCCUAUGGGUUGUAAACUUCUUUUAUAUGGGAAUAAAAUGUUCCACGUGUGGGAUUUUGUAUGUACCAUAUGAAUAAGGAUCGGCUAACUCCGUGCCAGCCGCCGCGGUAAUACGGAGGAUCCGAGCGUUAUCCGGAUUUAUUGGGUUUAAAGGGAGCGUAGGUGGAUUGUUAAGUCAGUUGUGAAAGUUUGCGGCUCAACCGUAAAAUUGCAGUUGAAACUGGCAGUCUUGAGUACAGUAGAGGUGGGCGGAAUUCGUGGUGUAGCGGUGAAAUGCUUAGAUAUCACGAAGAACUCCGAUUGCGAAGGCAGCUCACUGGACUGCAACUGACACUGAGGCUCGAAAGUGUGGGCAUCAAACAGGAUUAGAUACCCUUGUAGUC
rnacentral:rRNA from 1 species